UCCUACGGGGCGCAGCAGUCGGGAAUAUUGCGCAAUGGAGGAAACUCUGACGCAGUGACGCCGCGUAUAGGAAGAAGGUUUUCGGAUUGUAAACUAUUGUCGUGAGGGAAGAAAUUGACAGUACCUCAGGAGGAAGCUCCGGCUAACUAUGUGCCAGCAGCCGCGGUAAUACAUAGGGAGCAAGCGUUAUCCGGAUUUAUUGGGUUUAAAGGGUGCGCAGGCGGUCUGUUAAGUCAGCGGCCAAAGCCCGGGGCUCAACCCCGGCCCGCCGUUGAAACUGGCAGUCUCGAGUUGGAGAGAAGUAU
rnacentral:rRNA from 1 species